GACUCCCUGGGGACAGAAGGACAUUACAACACCAGUGGCCUCACACAAAUAACCAUGUGCACCCCAGCCCUAAUCUCAUGUACUCUGAAGCCAGACCCCAGCUGAAUCCCAUGCAAUAGUGGAGACAGACAGCUCAGCUUUCCACACUGCUGGAUGCACCCACUUCCUGCAUUUUGCCAAACCCUCUGAAGCAACUGCACUGAACAUUUUCCAUGUCCUUUGGAGCUCAACCCCUCUAAAUGACACUAUUUGAAGGAGUCCUCAGUAAUUAAAGGUGUCCUCGCAACACCUGUGGGAUGCAGGUAGCAUGAUUAUUACUUACAGCUGGAGGAAAAAAAGAACACAUUAAAUACAGAGAAGGGCAACCAAGAUGAUCAGGGGUAUGGAGCAGCAGCUGUGCCUGGAGCAAGGGAAAAGGCUGGGCAACUUCGUUUGGAAAGGAGGUUGAGGAGUCUUUAAUGUCAGAAAGAACGUGGACAAGGUGAACACUCACCAAGUCCCAGGAAACAAGAAGUGGGGGGGACCCCUAAAACGAGCAGGAAAUAGGAUUAAAACCAACAAAAGAAAGGACUUCUGCAGGCAGCACGUAGCUGACUUGAGGAACUCCGUGCCACAACAGGCUGUAGAGGCAGAUUGUAUAGCUAGGUUAAAAAAAGGACCAGACAAAUUCAUGGAGAACAGGCCCACUGGGAGCAACGGGAUUAGAAGGGUCAGGGGUGUAUCCUCUGAGAGCCCCAAACCAAUGAUGCUGGAUGCUCGGGAGGGUCUGACGGGAUGGCUUACAUGCCCUGCACGUAUACCCACCCUGUAAAGCAUCUUCUGCUGGGUACUGUGCUAAAUGGACUGCUGCUCUGAACUAGGGUAGCAACACUUGUGUUUUUCUGUGCUGAAGUGGUGCCCUCAGAAAUCAAAACGCACACCAGCCUCAGAGCCUGGAUCUAGAACAGGGCUCAUGGCAACCAGUCCUGGCCCAAGACUUUCCCCCCAUCUGAGCUCGUCAUUUUUCUCUACCAGUGCUCCUGGACACGUUUCCAUCCUCUGAGGCAUCCGUGUGGGGGAGCUUUACAAGUACUAUCUGCUCAGGAUGUGGCUUCAGACACUACUUGCAGCUGUUUGACAACAGUGUCUCCCCCAGCACAGCCAGGAUCCUCCAGGCUCGGUGUGCCUCACAUGUAUGGAAAGUGGGAAGGAUGAUCCAGGAGGCUGCCCCCUGCUCUUGCAGUGUUUCUCUGGGAAGCGAGUCAACAUUGCCUCCACGUCAGAGAUGGGAAACCCGAUGCAGUGGGAACUCCCAGCUCAUGCAACGUGUCAGAAACAGAACUGGAACAAGAUGAAGAUCUUCCUCAAUCAACCCCAUCUCCACCCAACCCCUGCACAAGUCUUCACUGGUAUGGAUUCCCAGGCAGGUGUUUUUUGUUGCAACACCCCUCUAGCCCCUCUGGGAAAGUCAGCGUGCCUAGCACACACAGCUUGGGAUCAAAACAAGCCGGAGUCAGAAUUCACCUCUGCUCCUCUGUUAGGGCAGCUUUAGUUGCACCUACUUGAGUGGUGACUUAUAGGAUUAUUUGAACUUUUCUGUUAUAUUCAGCCUUAUUUAACCAUUGCUUCUCUAUAGCCUCAUUAUUAUUUGAACUCUUCUGUUUCAUUUUGUAUCUGUGCUAUCAGCGAAUAGCCUUGAGCUCACUUUCAUAGGAAGCUUACGUGCCAGCGUUAUCAAUAUAGGCAUGUACAAGGUCUGUUCAAAAAGUAUCGAGACUAAUGCUGUAGGAAACUAAAUAUUUUAUUUACAGGAGUUUCAGCUUAAUCUCCUUCAAAGUAUGCUCCUUGUGCAGCCACGCACUUCUCCCAACAUUUCUGCCAUUGUUGGAAGCACCUCUGAUCAGCGAUUUGUGGAAUUGCAAAAGCUGCUCAGUAGCAUUUUGUUUUAUGGUUUCCACAUCACAAAAUCUUCUUCCUUUCAAGGUUUUCUUUAGUUGAAGGAAGAGAAAAAAAGUCACAUGGGGCUAUAUCACAUGAAUAUGGAGGCUAUGGCACUUUUGGGAUAUGGUGUUUGGCUAAAAUUUCGCCAAAAACUGCUUCGUAAGCUGUGCUGAGUGGGUAGGCGCAUUGUCAUGGUGAAGCAUCCAAGAGUCGGACGCUCACUUUUCUGGUCGUUUUUCUGAUUGUUUCAUUCCCAAAUCGCUGGUUAAAAUUGAAUGACAUGAACCAAGAGAAAUUCCAACUUCUUCUGCUAUCUCUCAGACAGUCAAUCGCCUAUCAUUUCAAACCAGACUGCAAAGCACUGCCACAUUUUCAUCAUUUUGUGAUAUUGAAGGGCAUCCGGAAUGCUCAACACUUUCAACCAAUGAUCGUCCUCCUUUAAACCGACGAUACUGCUCACAAACUCUUGCAUGGCUCAUAGUGUCAUCACCAAAUGCUAUUUUAAGUAAGUCACAUGUUUCACUUGCCAUUUUCCCGAUUUUCAUGAAAAAUUGAACGCACAAGCAUUGUUCUGGACACUCUGACAACAAAAGGGGACGUGAGAGACAAACGAUCUUACUUCAACCGCUGGCCACAGAAAACCAGGGAAACACCAUGAGCUGCAAACUUGUCCAGAGGAGUCCCAACAUGCCCAGACAUUUUCAGCAAAACCAUGCCCCCUCACCCAAUAGUUUGUACCACAAAUACACAUUCAGUCUCGAUACUUUUUGAACAGACCUUUACAGUGUGGUCCUUGUUACUAGCUCAAAUUAACUGAACUUGGCACUAACCAACUAAAUCAGAGGGAUGACAUGAUUGGAUAUGUUAAUGAAAGGUGAUAAGAGGGGACCAACUGGACAGUGCCCAACUGCAGAGACCUUUGAAUUUCUGGCUUUUAUGGACAGACCAAAUUAGGAGUCCAGGGCAUGCCCAAAUUAAGACACUGGGAAAAGAUCAAAGUAAAAUGUGUGCAUAUGAUGGGUUUGUUGGAACAAAGGAAUAGGGUGACAGAAUAAAAACAUGACUAGUAUGAUGAUGCUCACAGAGAAAUCAAUCAAUGGUACCUGGAAAUGAAGACUCAUCGGAGGAGUAAAGUUAAAGAAAAAGCAUAAAAGGGGGGGGUAACAAGAAAUUUGGGUAUGUGUUGUCAUCCAAAAACAGCCAUUACUCACAGACGACCACCCUCUACUUUCAGGAACUGAUUGGCCAUCUUUUCUAUGAUGCGGAAUGACAUUUGGGAUUGGAUCGGGGCUUGGCACGUCCCCAGAACAGCAGUCAAGCUACGAACGGCGACAGGGUUAGCUUCUGAGCAGCAGCUGUGACCAGAGAUACUCGAUCCCUCUACAUGACCAGCUCCAGCAUCAGGAAUGCUUGGACUCCAACCUGCCCCCUCUCCUUUAGCAGUCCUGCUAUCUGGAGCUUAAAGCACUGCUAACUCCAAACCAGACAGGUAUGCACACAUGUAACAGGUGUCCAAUCAGGGGCAAACCUGAGUUAACAUCACAGCCAAGCCAGGCCCGAGAGCCCAGUUAUGGGACGGGCCCAGCACCUGUGGCUCCUGCUGACAUCUGCCUGCCACUUUGGAAGGCUGGGUCCCCAACUCGCCCAAGAAGUCCAAGUCAAUGACAGAGCAAGGGAAAGAACCCCAGCCUCCCAGGACCUGGCUCAAUCUUCUUGUCUCCAUCAGCAUGACUUUUUCUUGCUGAGUAUCUUGUAGCACAUCCAGCCUGUUCAUAACUGGAUCAUUCUAGAUGCUUGAGAAAAGCCAGAUUCGUUACAGACAGGCUCAAGCAAACACAUUCCACAUCUAAACAUACCUCUCCACUGUCUUGUUUUCUGAGCCAGAUUUUUAAAGCACUAAUUUAACUUUGAAAUGUAGGCUGCUCCACAAGGGUGAAAGUUUGCAAAUGGACCAUCCAGUCACACUGAACAUUAGUCCCCUCUUCAGUGCAAGUGGCUAGAAGACAGAAACAACAGAAAGUCUACCACGAGGUGCCACAAAACUCGUUUUAAUGUGAUACCUUAUUGCUCAGUACUCCAAACUGGGGAGUCAGGCUAAGCUUGGUGCAUUCUUGAAUGCUACGAAAAAGGGUCUGGCACGUACAGGCCACAAUCUUUUGAGAUCUUGUAUAACAAUGAUUGGUUCCAUCCCUAAGCAAGCUGUAGGGUGAGCCAGGUGCUCAACUGACCACCCACACAAUAGAAUAAUAGAAAAUGAGGGCUGAAGGGACCUUAGGAGGUCGCGUCUAGUCCAACCUCCUGCUCCAAGCAGGACCAGCCCCAACUACAUCAUCCCAGCUAGGGUUUCCUUGAGCCAGGUCUUAAAAACCUCCAAGGAUGGAGAAUCCACCACCGCUCUGGGUAACCUGUUCCAGUGCUUCACCACCCUCCUAGUGAGAAAGAUUUUUUUAAUAUCUAACCCCAACUUCCCUUGCUGCAACUUGAGCCCAUUGCUCCUUGUCCUGUCACCUGUCACCAGUGAGAAGUCCAGCUCCAUCCUCUUUGAAACCCCUCCUUCAGGUAGUUUAAGGCUGCUAUUCAUUCCCAAGUCCUGUCCCCCAGCCCCAAAAUUAUUUUUGUUGCCCUCCACCGACUCUCUCCAACUUGUCCGCAUCCUUUCUGUCAUGGGGGGCCCACAACUGGAUACAAGACUCCAGAUGUGGCCUCCCCAGUGCUGAAUAGAGGGGAAGAAUCACUGCCCUCCAUCUGCUGGCAACGCUCCUGCCAAUGCAGCCCAGGAUGCUGUUAGCUAUGUCGACUGAUUGCCCAUUACUUGACUGCAGUCAAAAACUCCACAAAGCCAAAAAUGCCCUUGUGUAGGUAGCAGCCUCCCUUGCAUCCCAGUAUCAUCCAUUAGCAGGUCCUCGGCCCACAAGAGUGAAGAUCCUCCCUCCCCCUCUCUCUCAGGAGCUACUCUGUGCUGAGGGAGGAACCCAAACCAGAACAGCCAACUUCUGUCCUCUACAGCUGCUGUGCCUUUCAUUUCUGUUUAAUUUCAUUUGCAGCAUUUCAUAGCUGGUUGGACUGACCCGAGAUUCUGGGAUAAAAGGCAGGGAAAACUACCAUUCAGUGCUGAAUAUCGCUCCCACAGAUACUAACCUACCAUCUGUUUGUUAUAUGCAUUCAUUACAAUGUUGUACGGUUCCAUUUCCUUGUUUCACAAUAACAGUUAACGACAUCGGGGGGAUUUACAAUUUAUAAGCAUCCAACCUGCUAAAGAUGAAAGUCUCUGUCUGUAUUGAUCUAAUAAAUCAGUGUUUAAAAUA